GCUCCCGUGGUCUAGUGGUUAUGACGCCGUGUUGUGGGCACUGAAACAAUCUGUGUUCAAUUCACAGCAAUGGCA
rnacentral:tRNA from 1 species